rnacentral:rRNA from 1 species
GUGGGGAAUAUUGGACAAUGGGCGCAAGCCUGAUCCAGCCAUGCCGCGUGAGUGAUGAAGGCCUUAGGGUUGUAAAGCUCUUUCAGUGGGGACGAUAAUGACGGUACCCACAGAAGAAGCCCCGGCUAACUUCGUGCCAGCAGCCGCGGUAAUACGAAGGGGGCUAGCGUUGUUCGGAUUUACUGGGCGUAAAGCGCACGUAGGCGGAUCGUUAAGUCGGGGGUGAAAUCCUGGAGCUCAACUCCAGAACUGCCUUCGAUACUGGCGAUCUUGAGUACGGAAGAGGUGAGUGGAACUCCUAGUGUAGAGGUGGAAUUCGUAGAUAAUAGGAAGAACACCAGUGGCGAAGGCGGCUCACUGGUCUGGUACUGACGCUGAGGUGCGAAAGCGUGGGGAGCAAACAGGAUUAGAUACCCUUGUAGUCC